rnacentral:lncRNA from 1 species
GGUGCCUUUGUUUGUGCUGCUGUGAGUAUAUACUCUUUUUUUCUAUCUUAUCGUUUUUGCAUUUUAUUCAUAACUUUUAAAUAUAAAAAAAACAGGUAGGGUGUAUUAUAUUUUUUCUAAAUAAAUAUAUGUUUAACGUAUUCAAAUUAUAAGUAGACCAAUGAUGUUGGUUCAAGUGGUACAGGUUUGAUUCCCCUUAAGCAAGAAUUCGGGUCUUGUGGAUGGAAAAAAUGCAUGUUGGGAGAGUUAGCUCCACGUACUUGUGAAUGUUUUCAACUCGGACAAAAUUGCCUCCAAUAUGAAUAUACCUAUGGGAAACAAAAAAAAGUAUAAGUAGGAAUAUUUGCUGUCUGUGUAAAGGAAAACCUCAACUGAUAAUAUAUUUUAUACAUUCUUUCCAAAAUUUAUUAUAUAUUAUUCUACUGCAUCAUUUAUUAUUCAUGUUUAAUGUUAAUAGUGUAAGAUAAAUGAAUGAUAUAAAAUUUAUUAGUUAUAUCAACAAGACAUUAAUCAAAUGUG